GCGGGCGUAGUUUAAUGGUAGAACGCUAGCCUUCCAAGCUAGGCGCGAGGGUUCGAUUCCCUCCGCCCGCA
rnacentral:tRNA from 1 species